GAGUUUGAUCAUGGCUCAGAUUGAACGCUGGCGGCAGGCCUAACACAUGCAAGUCGAGCGGAUGAAGGGAGCUUGCUCCUGGAUUCAGCGGCGGACGGGUGAGUAAUGCCUAGGAAUCUGCCUGGUAGUGGGGGAUAACGUCCGGAAACGGGCGCUAAUACCGCAUACGUCCUGAGGGAGAAAGUGGGGGAUCUUCGGACCUCACGCUAUCAGAUGAGCCUAGGUCGGAUUAGCUAGUUGGUGGGUAAAGGCCUACCAAGGCGACGAUCCGUAACUGGUCUGAGAGGAUGAUCAGUCACACUGGAACUGAGACACGGUCCAGACUCCUACGGGAGGCAGCAGUGGGGAAUAUUGGACAAUGGGCGAAAGCCUGAUCCAGCCAUGCCGCGUGUGUGAAGAAGGUCUUCGGAUUGUAAAGCACUUUAAGUUGGGAGGAAGGGCAGUAAGUUAAUACCUUGCUGUUUUGACGUUACCAACAGAAUAAGCACCGGCUAACUUCGUGCCAGCAGCCGCC
rnacentral:rRNA from 1 species